ACCUGCCCUAUGAUAAAGAUUAAAUGGCCGCGAUAUUUUGAUCGUGCAAAGGUAGCAUAAUAAUUAGUUUCUUAAUUAGGAACUGGAAUGAAGGGUCGAACGAAAAAAAUUCUGUCUCAAUUUAAUUUUUAUUAGAAUUUUAUUUUUAAGUUAAAAAGCUUAAAUAAUUUUAAAAGACGAGAAGACCCUAUAGAGUUUUAUAUUUAUAUAUUUUUUUUUUAAUUUAAGAAUUUUUUUAGAAAAAUAAAUAUAAGUAUUUAGUUGGGGUGACUGAAAAAUUAAAAAAACUUUUUUUAAACUUAUAACAUUAAUAUAUGAAAAAUUGAUCCAUAAAUUAUGAUUAAAAGAUUAAAUUACCUUAGGGAUAACAGCGUAAUUUUUUUUAAGAGUUCUUAUCGAAAAAAAAGUUUGCGACCUCGAUGUUGGAUUAAAAUAAACUUUUGGUGUAGAAGCUAAAAUAGUUGGGUCUGUUCGACCUUUAAAAUUUUACAUGAUC
rnacentral:rRNA from 1 species